GGCUACGGCCACGUCACCCCGAACACGCCUGAUCCCGGCUGAUCUCGGAAGCUAAGCAGGGUCGGGCCUGGUUAGUGCUUGGAUGGGAGACCUCUUAGGAAGAGCAGGUGCCGUAGGCA
ensembl:rRNA 5S_rRNA 5S ribosomal RNA